CUGCUGCCUCCCGUAGGAGUCUGGUCCGUGUCUCAGUACCAGUGUGGGGGACCUUCCUCUCAGAACCCCUACGCAUCGUCGCCUCGGUGGGCCGUUACCCCGCCGACUAGCUAAUGCGACGCAUGGCCAUCCUAUGCCGGAGUCGCCUCCUUUGACCCCCUGGAGAUGUCUCCAAAUGGUGUUAUGCGGUAUUAGACGGAAUUUCUUCCGCUUAUCCCCCCUGCAUAGGGCAGGUUCCAUACGUGUUACUCACCCGUGCCG
rnacentral:rRNA from 1 species